UCACACACACACAGCAACCGGAGCCCAGCGGCCAUUGCUGGAGGCAGCUGACCAUCGAGACGGCCAGGUAUACCUGGCAGUAACACACCUGUCUGCUGAGCCUAAACCUGUCACAUAACCGGAUCACUGAGAUAGGGCUGAAGGCUCUGCUGGAAGCCUUGAAGAUCCAAGUGAGCAGUAACAAGCCCACUAUAGACGGGCGGACCACCAGCGGCCUACUGCGGCUCCUAGUGGCGAAGAACGAGUUCCCGCCCAUGUGCGAUUCGUACACCAGCCUGCAGGAGCUGAUCUUGGCCAGGGACCCCAUCACCAAACACCGCAUCAUCUGUAGCCCCAUGCCCUCCCACAGUGAGAGUCAGUGAGGGAGAGAGACAGGGAGUGGGGUUGAUACAGUCACCACCUGACCCUGA